GAUGAAGAACGCAGCGAAAUGCGAUAAGUAAUGCGAAUUGCAGAAUUUCCGUGAGUCAUCGAAUCUUUGAACGCACAUUGCGCCCUUUGGUAUUCCUUAGGGCAUGCCUGUUCGAGCGUCAUUUCAAACUUCAAGCCCCCCUCAUGGCUUGGUGUUGGGCGUCUGUCCUCCCGGGGACUCGCCUCAAAUGCAUUGGCAGCCGGUACGUUGGCUUCGAGCGCAGCAGAAACGCGCGCGGCGUCCGACGGUGCCUGGCUCUCCAGGAAGCCUCCACCCCAAGUUUGACCUCGGAUCAGGUAGGGAUACCCGCUGAACUUAAGCAUAUCAAUAAGCGGAGGA
rnacentral:misc_RNA from 1 species